ACAUGCCUAUAGAAUAGCAUUAAUGCAACAGAUCCCAUUAGAAAUCCAUAGUUAAGUGCGCUCAAGCUAGAGUAGUAUUGGGAUGGGUGACUGCCCAGAAAGUCCUAGUGUUUUACAUGCC
rnacentral:rRNA from 1 species